CUGUUUUUCACUUCGUUGUUAGAGUUUUAGGCCGUUCCAUGCACACUUGUGGGCGUAUAAAUGAUGCUUUUCAACCCUUUUUCUUCCGUGAAACUAGUAUCAUGAAUUAGUUUGUCUUAUUUUUAUUUUGGAAUCUUUUAUACUCUUUUAUUUCAAACCCCAGCUCCAGGCCCAAACGAUUUUACUAGACGUGUCAAUUUGUGAUUCGUAAAAGGCCUUUGGCUUUGGAUGACGGCGGAAAAGUGCUUAUUCUUUGUUCCGGCUAUAAGAUUUAUUGCCGAUGCAUU